rnacentral:rRNA from 1 species
AUUGAACGCUGGCGGAAUGCUUUACACAUGCAAGUCGAACGAUGAACCUUAGCUUGCUAGGGGGAUUAGUGGCGAACGGGUGAGUAACAUAUCGGAACGUACCUUGUAAUGGGGGAUAACUAGUCGAAAGAUUAGCUAAUACCGCAUACGCCCUGAGGGGGAAAGUAGGGGAUCUUCGGACCUUACGUUAUAAGAGCGGCCGAUAUCUGAUUAGCUAGUUGGUGGGGUAAAGGCCUACCAAGGCGACGAU